UUAGAAUAAAUUGGCACCUCACUUCGCUUGGGCGAGCUUAAGGGCGCCUAACGCUUUUGACAACACUGACUACAACACCAUGGUGCAACUAUUAUCAGCUCUUUCUCAUAUAAGAACAAGUUAGCAGCCCUUAGAUCAAAUAUUUAUUAUGAGAUUCAUGCAUGGUCAACAUACUCACUAUUUUAAUUAUGUAUACACCUUAAUUGACCAUACACAAAUCUCAUAGUAAAUAUUUGAUGUACCAUACACGAAUUUCAUAGUAAAUAUUUGAUCUAAGAGCUGCUAAACUCGAUUAAGUUGUACACAUAAUUGAAAUAACGAGCAUGUUGACCCUGUACGAAUCUCAUAAAAAAUACUCAAUCUAAGGACUGUUGGACUCAUUCUUGUGUGAGAACAAGCUUACAGUAGACACAUCCUAUCCCCGCUUAAGUUUCCACUUACAGCUACGGUGUGCCUCCAACCAGGUUUAAGGAAAAAGUAUCAGGAAAUAUUGGGGCUGCAAAUGUGUCUUGCAACUCAUGAGCUACUCAAAGCAUAACACUAUAAAGGUUCACUUGAAGUCAUUUGUUAAGUCAAGCUUGCCUUAUUCAAGCCCAUGAACCAGCUCAUAUAUAAACUCAAUUUGACUUCAAGCUUUACAUAUAUUUGACACAAAACACAUAAAAGUACUUGUUUAAAAUAUUUAUUAAAUCAUAAUCAUAUAAAUUAUAAUUUCUUCACUUUAUAUGUGCAUGUAAUCCACAAAAGUUAUUUUGUUUUUCAUACUAAUAUUAGAAAUAACAAAUGUGAUUUAAUAUGCUUAAUUUUUUUAAGAAAAUAAACCCUGUUGAGAAAUCUUUAUGUUUGUUUGUUACAUGAGUUAAAUUUAAAUUUGAACAAUGUUGCCCUUGGUUAGUUUUUAUGAAUGAACCAUGCCUGGGCAUACAAAAACUAAGAUUGUCUCAGAUCAUUAGGGAUCCUAGAAAAUACUACCGAGGCCUACAAAAUUUCAUGAAAUAAAAAGUUCAGUCAUACAUCCUAAGAUAAAUUUAGGCAAUGAAAGCAACAUUCUUACAAUCAUGCUCCAUUGCAUAUGAUAGCAACAAA
rnacentral:misc_RNA from 1 species